CAGAAAACCUUCCGGGAGAUUUCAGAAUGCUUAAUGUGGGGUGUUUCUCUAAUUUCCUGUGCCUCCUUUUUCUGAGAGAUGAGAAGCUCUGAUUGCUUCACCUCCUGUGACAGAUGUGCUGAAAAUCAUUCUUUAAUGCAAACGUUUCAAGUCGUCUGUCGGGAUCAGAAGCCAAACAGAAAAUGGAUGAGCGGCCAAAACUACUUCGUAGACCUCUGCCUCCUAAGCUGCCAUCUAAACUAUCUACACCAAGGGAGAAGGUUGGUAAAGGCAAGGUUUCUGGACAAUACGUAAGUAGAGUGAUGAAGAGUACAAAUGAUGAAAAUAGAAAUGCAGUGUCUGGAGGUUAUGUCAGUGCUCAAGGGCAAGUCAAGCAGACGGAUGCUUCCCUCAGCCAUGGAAAAUCUAGCUGCAGGUUCAUCCUUUCACCAUCUACCUUUGAAGAUGACACUCAAAAAGCCACUUGUUUCCCACUACAACUGCGAAGUCCUCAGUAGCAAGUUAAUGACUGAAAACAGGAGCUUGCAGACUGAAGUUAACACAGUGAUGUUAUCUGAUAUCGAUUUACCAGUAGUUGAAACAAGAAAGCCUGAGCAACAGAAAAUCCUAGAAAUCACCUCGCAAGAGAAAAUAAGAAAAUCUGGUUCGCCGGAACAACUUUUGCAAGAACAAAAGAAAGAAAAAGGAUAUAUUAUACACUGUGUAAAGCUAACUGAACCUGGAAGAGCAGAAGGACCCUUUACAGACUCUAAUGAUGGCCCUGAUGUUGUUAGUGUGGACAGUGCUUGGGAAACCAGUUUCCACUUAAUAGCAAGCAAGCAAGAUGAGGAGGAAAAACUGAUGUUCAGAUCCCAAGUGAAAGUAUGGCAUUGCUUCUUGAACCGGAAGACUGCUCUCAGCCUUCAGGCCCAGGGCUUUGCCUGCCGUGGAAAAAGCUGUCCUUGGACAACUUGA
rnacentral:lncRNA from 1 species